rnacentral:rRNA from 1 species
AAGACCUUGCGCUUUUGGAGCGGCCGAUGCCUGAUUAGCUUGUUGGUAAGGUAAAAGCUUACCAAGGCUUCGAUCAGUAGCUGGUCUGAGAGGACGGCCAGCCACACUGGGACUGAGACACGGCCCAGACUCCUACGGGAGGCAGCAGUGGGGAAUUUUGGACAAUGGGGGCAACCCUGAUCCAGCCAUGCCGCGUGAGUGAAGAAGGCCUUCGGGUUGUAAAGCUCUUUCAGCCGGAACGAAACGGUUACGGUUAAUACCCGUGAUUACUGACGGUACCGGAAGAAGAAGCACCGGCUAACUACGUGCCAGCAGCCGCGGUAAUACGUAGGGUGCGAGCGUUAAUCGGAAUUACUGGGCGUAAAGCGUGCGCAGGUGGUUUUGUAAGUCAGAUGUGAAAGCCCCGGGCUCAACCUAGGAACU